rnacentral:misc_RNA from 1 species
GAUGAAGAACGCAGCGAAAUGCGAUAAGUAAUGUGAAUUGCAGAAUUCAUUGAAUCAUCGAAUCUUUGAACGCACAUUGCGCCCCCUGGUAUUCCGGGGGGCAUGCCUGUUCGAGCGUCAUUUCACCACUCAAGCCUCGCUUGGUAUUGGGCAACGCGGUCCGCCGCGUGCCUCAAAUCGACCGGCUGGGUCUUCUGUCCCCUAAGCGUUGUGGAAACUUUCGCUAAAGGGUGUUCGGGAGGCUACGCCGUAAAACAACCCCAUUUCUAAGGUUGACCUCGGAUCAGGUAGGGAUACCCGCUGAACUUAAGCAUAUCAAUAAGCGGAGGA